UGGCCCUUUUAGGCUAAGGCCUUUUCACUUAGACUGAGAUGCUUGGCAUAUGCUUCGGUCUAAGUCACAGAAAAGUCAGAGGCAUUAAGGGGACACUUCUGGAGCUGGCUUCUCAUCAAUGCUGAAUGUGGGUUGAACCUCCAGGACCAACGCCUACUAUUUCUUGGAUUUUAUAGAGUGUAGGUCUAUCCUGAAAAUCCCUCAAGAAGGACACUCUCGGUUCUAGCGCUGCUUUCCAUUUUGACCUCUCCAGUCAUGCAUGACGAAAGGCUAAGCCUCUGGAAGAGGGAUGAGAAAGUUUGCAACUGGCUCCAUUAGAAAUUUUAUAUGGAUGCUCACCCUUUCUCUCCAAGAUAAAAAGAAAUAAUAAUAAAUGAUAAAAAGUGAAACAGAACAGGAUUAGGCAGAGAUCUCCGUGGCAUUUCACUAGAGACCUCCUUCCAAAUUGACAAUAAACCAUUAAGGACUACUCUUUGAGUCCAGCCUCUUGGUCUCCUUCUGCACUUCCACUCCCAUCAUCAACUCUGGCAGAGAAUUAGAAGGGUUGUUGAUCUACACAGCAAAAUCUUCAUCGGUCCCAAGUUCUUCCUGUCUCUGUUGUUUUCCUCUGUACCUCCCUUCUCAUCUGGGUAGUGCCAACACAUCAGGACCUGUUAUUCAGGGCUGUGAUGGAAGCUGCAUGCCUGGUUAAUUUUAUAUCAUGUCCUCCAUUCAGUUCCAUUUCCUAGUUGCUCUUAUCCACCGGGCACCUGAAUGCUCCGUGUUCUUGAGGUCAGUGAGGCCCAUCAAAAUAUACCUUACCUCAAAUAGUAAUACCUGACAUUGAUUGUCAGAGGUGGCAUGAACUGAGGUGUUUUUGCCUCCAGGUAAUGUAUCUAAACCAGGUACUAUAUUUACCAAACCAUGCUAUGUUAAGUCAUUUAUGCUCCUGAUAGUUACUUUUAGGUAAAAGAUAACCAAAUAAUUCUGGGUACAUUUACACUUGGCAGCUAGGUGCCCCAGUGGAUAGAGUGUUGGGCUUGGAAUCAGGAAGACAUUACUUCCAAUGUGAUCUCAGAUACUUACUAG